UUAUUCAGAUCAAAGCAGCAACAUGAGGAUUAUUCAGAUUCAGCUCUAUGUGUUAAUGUUUUGUCAAGCUGCAGUGACUUUAGAUCAACUAACAGAUUUGGGACAAAAUGUGACUAUAAAAUGUGAUCUGGACUCAAAUGAGGUUUAUUGGAUUUUACUGAAACAAUCAGAUUCUCAUACAGUGAUACUGCACUCAUUCUCAAGGCCAACUUCUGCUUUUUACUUUAAUAAAACAUUUAAAAACAAAUAUUCAACACAAUCUAAGCAUGGUCUGGUGAUAUAUAAUAUUACUGUAGAUGAGUUAGGAGUUUAUUACUGUAUGAACACAGAUACACCUCCAAAACUCAGUAACAGCACAAGACUGCACAUCAUUGGUAAGUACAUUUUCAGUUGUAAAUAUAUUAAUGUAGUAGACUAACAAUAACAGUGACUGCUGUAACAAACUUUACAAACUUUAUUUCACACAACCUCCAACAAUACAAAAAUCACAGAGCAAAACUCAUCACAAUGGACGACUUUCAUCCUCAUUUCUGGUCUGCUGAAUGUCUUUCUGAUCACUACAGGUCUGGUGGUAGCUGUUUGUGCUGUUAAUAAUGGAUGUUGGAUCAGAUCUGGAAACAGUUCAGGACAACUUUAUAAAACUGAUUUUAUAAAACAGCUGACACAAGAGCAGCAUCAAGACCCAAACCAACAACAGUAUAUGACGGUGGUUUUCCAAGCAGUGUAAAAACUCAGCCAAACCACGACAGCAAAUAUGCCAAAAAUUUUAUAUUUAUAUAUACUUACAACUAAUAACAAGUUUUAUAACCUAACUUAGCUAGAAAACAUCUUGGAAACCUAACAAUUUGAUUUCACUCUGCAACUAAUCACACACUGAACUCACAAUACA